rnacentral:misc_RNA from 1 species
GGCUAUGUUACAGCAGGGCGACUCACUUUAAAAAAGCUCUCGCCUCGCCCCUCACCUCGCCUCUAAGGUGACAGUACCCUAUCUUUUGACUAGCGCCUCCCGUCUUGAUAACACUGACGUGUAGAAACAAAAGUAUGGAUGAGAUGAGGAAUGAUUAUGUUCACAGAAAGGUGGAAGUAGCUCCUGUUGAGGGAAAGUUAAGAGCAGCGAAUUAAAAUAGCAAGGACAUGUGAAUUGUAGAACAGCAAACGUACCAGUAUGAAAGGUUGAGAACAUUGAAAAUUCAUAUUGAGAACAUUGAAAAUUCAUAGUAACCAAAGCUACUAAAUAAUAUAAAAUCUAGACCUAUUUAUAGAGUUUUUGAGACCUUAAUCACAUCAGGAUUAAGAACCCUAAUAUAA